rnacentral:lncRNA from 1 species
CUCUAAUUCACCGAAAAACGAACUUUCGUACGAAAUUUCGCGAACUUCUUACCACGGUUCCAUUUCGUUCCGAAAUUUCGUACGAACGAAGAUUGUUUGACGUUUAUUGUCUAUAAACCUACUCUAAUUCGAAAUGAUACGAACGAAUAUUUGAGUUUGACAGACGAAACUUCGGAAUUUUAACCUCAAAUUCAACGAAACCAAAAGAGUUAUCGUUUGAUUUUCGUGUUACUUUUCAUUUUGUGAAUUUUGUGUGAAAAUUAUUGGCAAAGGCUAUAAAAAUGCUUUUAAUUAAAGCAGCUUUACGUGAAGAUCGUGUAGAGCGAAGAAGGAACCGGCAGUGCUUGCGCAAUCAAUUAAAUAUUAGCGAAAUUCCCAACGUAGAGUUUGUAGGAAAUCACAGACUCAGUCGGCAAUUUUUCGAAGAGUUGUGCCAGGAAUUCAUGCCUUUAUUACCUCCAAACAAUGCAUAUUUCAAUUGCUAUACCUUCUGGAGCAUGAGGAACAAUAUUUUAAUCGAAAAUAUUUUCAUUCUCUUAACACCCAAGUUAUAUGUGACAGUGAUUACUAUAUAACAAAUGUGGAUGUGUCAUUUGGUGGAGCAACACACAUGAUGCUUAUAUUUGGAGAGAUUAGAAGCCACUUGGAAGGUCUCCAGAAUGAAACAGUUUAUCUGUUAGGUGACUCUGGGUAUGCUCUAAGGGGCAUAUGAUGAUACCUAUACAUAAAGCUGUUGAAGAUUCUCUUGAAGGCAGAUACAACUUUGCAGAGCUUUGUUAGUGCAAAUUUUAGAAAGGAAUAGGUAGAACAAAGUUCUACUCAAGCACAUCAUAACAUGCUCCAGAAGAACUAUGUUUAUUGAUUUUAAGAAUUUGACAUGAUGUUAUUUCUUUCCUUUAGAGUUAAAUAAAAGAAUAAAUUAUAUACCUA